rnacentral:rRNA from 1 species
GGUGCAGCCUGAUCAGCCAUCCCGCGUGAGUGAUUAAGGUCCUNUGGAUUGUAAACUUCUUUUAUACAGGGAUAAACCUCUCCUCGUGAGGAGAGCUGAAGGUACUGUAUGAAUAANCUCCGGCUAACUCCGUGCCA